rnacentral:rRNA from 2 species
AAGUCGAACGAGUUCUGAUUAUUGAAAGGUGCUUGCAUCUUGAUUUAAUUUUGAACGAGUGGCGGACGGGUGAGUAACACGUGGGUAACCUGCCCUUAAGUGGGGGAUAACAUUUGGAAACAGAUGCUAAUACCGCAUAAAUCCAAGAACCGCAUGGUUCUUGGCUGAAAGAUGGCGUAAGCUAUCGCUUUUGGAUGGACCCGCGGCGUAUUAGCUAGUUGGUGAGGUAACGGCUCACCAAGGCAAUGAUACGUAGCCGAACUGAGAGGUUGAUCGGCCACAUUGGGACUGAGACACGGCCCAAACUCCUACGGGAGGCAGCAGUAGGGAAUCUUCCACAAUGGACGCAAGUCUGAUGGAGCAACGCCGCGUGAGUGAAGAAGGCUUUCGGGUCGUAAAACUCUGUUGUUGGAGAAGAAUGGUCGGCAGAGUAACUGUUGUCGGCGUGACGGUAUCCAACCAGAAAGCCACGGCUAACUACGUGCCAGCAGCCGCGGUAAUACGUAGGUGGCAAGCGUUAUCCGGAUUUAUUGGGCGUAAAGCGAGCGCAGGCGGUUUUUUAAGUCUGAUGUGAAAGCCCUCGGCUUAACCGAGGAAGUGCAUCGGAAACUGGGAAACUUGAGUGCAGAAGAGGACAGUGGAACUCCAUGUGUAGCGGUGAAAUGCGUAGAUAUAUGGAAGAACACCAGUGGCGAAGGCGGCUGUCUGGUCUGUAACUGACGCUGAGGCUCGAAAGCAUGGGUAGCGAACAGGAUUAGAUACCCUGGUAGUCCAUGCCGUAAACGAUGAAUGCUAGGUGUUGGAGGGUUUCCGCCCUUCAGUGCCGCAGCUAACGCAUUAAGCAUUCCGCCUGGGGAGUACGACCGCAAGGUUGAAACUCAAAGGAAUUGACGGGGGCCCGCACAAGCGGUGGAGCAUGUGGUUUAAUUCGAAGCAACGCGAAGAACCUUACCAGGUCUUGACAUCUUUUGAUCACCUGAGAGAUCAGGUUUCCCCUUCGGGGGCAAAAUGACAGGUGGUGCAUGGUUGUCGUCAGCUCGUGUCGUGAGAUGUUGGGUUAAGUCCCGCAACGAGCGCAACCCUUAUGACUAGUUGCCAGCAUUUAGUUGGGCACUCUAGUAAGACUGCCGGUGACAAACCGGAGGAAGGUGGGGAUGACGUCAAAUCAUCAUGCCCCUUAUGACCUGGGCUACACACGUGCUACAAUGGAUGGUACAACGAGUUGCGAGACCGCGAGGUCAAGCUAAUCUCUUAAAGCCAUUCUCAGUUCGGACUGUAGGCUGCAACUCGCCUACACGAAGUCGGAAUCGCUAGUAAUCGCGGAUCAGCACGCCGCGGUGAAUACGUUCCCGGGCCUUGUACACACCGCCCGUCACACCAUGAGAGUUUGUAACACCCGAAGCCGGUGGCGUAACCCUUUUAGGGAGCGAGCCG